rnacentral:tRNA from 1 species
UCCUUGGUGGCUCAGAUGGUAAAGCAUCUGCCUACAAUGCAGGAGACCUGGGUUCAAUCCCUGGGUUGGGAA